rnacentral:rRNA from 1 species
GACGAACGCUGGCGGCGUGCUUAACACAUGCAAGUCGAACGGAAAGGCCCUGCUUUUGUUGGUUGCUCGAGUGGCGAACGGGUGAGUAACACGUGAGUAACCUGCCCUUGACUUUGGGAUAACUUCAGGAAACUGGGGCUAAUACCGGAUAGGAGCUCCUGCUGCAUGUUGGGGGUUGGAAAGUUUCGGCGGUUGGGGAUGGACUCGCGGCUUAUCAGCUUGUUUGUGGGGUAGUGGCUUACCAAGGCUUUGACGGGUAGCCUGCCUGAGAGGGUGACCGGCCACAUUGGGACUGAGAUACGGCCCAGACUCCUACGGGAGGCAGCAGUGGGGAAUAUUGCACAAUGGGCGGAAGCCUGAUGCAGCAACGCCGCGUGCGGGAUGACGGCCUUCGGGUUGUAAACCGCUGUCGCCUGUGACGAAGCGUGAGUGACGGUAAUGGGUAAAGAAGCACCGGCUAACUACGUG